UAUUAGGUUGGUGCAAAAGCAAUUGUGGUUUUUGCCAUUAAAAGUAAUGACAAACGUCACAAUUGCUUUUGCACCAACCUAAUA
rnacentral:pre_miRNA from 2 species